CCUACGGGGUGCAGCAGUGGGGAAUAUUGCACAAUGGGGGAAACCCUGAUGCAGCGACGCCGCGUGAGUGAAGAAGUAUUUCGGUACGUAAAGCUCUAUCAGCAGGGAAGAAAAUGACGGUACCUGACUAAGAAGCCCCGGCUAACUACGUGCCAGCAGCCGCGGUAAUACGUAGGGGGCAAGCGUUAUCCGGAUUUACUGGGUGUAAAAGGAGCGUAGACGGCAGCGCAAGUCUGGAGUGAAAUCCCAUGGCUUAACCAUGGAACUGCUUUGGAAACUGUGCAGCUAGAGUGCAGGAGAGGUAAGCGGAAUUCCUAGUGUAGCGGUGAAAUGCGUAGAUAUUAGGAGGAACACCAGUGGCGAAGGCGGCUUACUGGACUGUAACUGACGUUGAGGCUCGAAAGCGUGGGGAGCAAACAGGAUUAGAUACCCGAGUAGUC
rnacentral:rRNA from 1 species